rnacentral:rRNA from 1 species
UUAUUGGAGAGUUUGAUCCUGGCUCAGGAUGAACGCUGGCGGCGUGCCUAAUACAUGCAAGUCGAGCGGA